rnacentral:tRNA from 42 species
GGAGAGAUGGCUGAGUGGUUGAUAGCUCCGGUCUUGAAAACCGGUAUAGUUUUUAACAAAGAACUAUCGAGGGUUCGAAUCCCUCUCUCUCCU